UGUGAUCAUAACAAGGAAACAGUUAACAAUAAGCAAUGGCACCCCAUAGAUACGCAUUACCCAAGCCAACCCUUUUGCCAUUGUAGCCUGAUAAAGCACAAACGUUGUGGCAAAGAUUCCGAGGUCAGCAAUGUAAAUCUGAAGCCUUUCUCUUUCGGAAAAUAUUGGGCCAUAGGGAUCAUAAUGGCAAGCAAAGCGAUCGUAAGGUCUACCAGAGACAUUGAAAGCUAAGUAUAAAGGCCAGCCAAGGAGGAGCGUGGCAGCAAGUGUCAAAACUCGACCUGGCGGGUUGUUUAAGUACUUAGAAUACCAUGAAAUUUUCGACUUUGAUUUCGGGACGAACACUUCGUCUCGCUCGAGAGAUCCUAUGUUAGAAUGGUGGCGGCGAUGGCUAUAUUUCCAUGAAAAAUAUGGAACCAGAAGUGCAGAAUGGACAAUUAGGCCAACAAUGUCAUCAGCCAGCUGAUACUCACUAAAAGCAUGAUGGCCACAUUCAUGGCCGAUGACCCAAAGACCAGUGAGAAUGCAGCCUUGGAAGAGCCAGUAAACCAGCCAAGCGACAUACGAGAGCGGAGAAGAGAUGUAAGGGAAGAAGUUGGUGGCGAUCGAGUAGAAAAGAAAACUUAAGCAGACAUCAUAGGCAACAUAGGAGAAUGAGCGCACAAAAGAGCGUUCAAAGCAAUGGGGUGGGAUGGCUCUCUUGAGGUCACCAAGUGUGAAAGGAGGCUUCGUGUGCGGCGCUCGCUUAAGGUGGCUGCUUCCUCCUUUCUUCUCACUGUUGUUGCUGGUUAUGACAGUAGACAUGCGACCACCACCUCCCAUUCUUAAGCUCUUUUUUAAGCACUUUCCU
rnacentral:lncRNA from 1 species